UACGAAGGGGGCGAGCGUUGUUCGGAUUUACUGGGCGUAAAGGGCGCGCAGGCGGUUCUGUUUGUCGAGUGUGAAAGCCCCGGGCUCAACCUGGGAACUGCGCUCGAAACGGCGGAACUAGAGUUCGGGAGAGGAGAGUGGAAUUCCCAGUGUAGGAGGUGAAAUUCGUAGAGUAUUGGGAAAGAACACCGGGUGGCGAAGGUCGGCU
rnacentral:rRNA from 1 species